rfam:Myotis brandtii contig278027, whole genome shotgun sequence.
GGUGGUUCUCAGGUGAUGCACCCCGGAAUCAGGCUUCCUCCGCUCUCGUUCCGGGUGCAUCACCCAAGAACCGCA